rnacentral:misc_RNA from 1 species
GAUGAAGAACGUAGUGAAAUGCGAUAAGUAGUGUGAAUUGCAGAAUUCAGUGAAUCAUCGAAUCUUUGAACGCACAUUGCGCCCUUUGGUAUUCCAAAGGGCAUGCCUGUUCGAGCGUCAUUUGUACCCUCAAGCUUUGCUUGGUGUUGGGCGUCUUGUCUCUAGCUUUGCUGGAGACUCGCCUUAAAGUAAUUGGCAGCCGGCCUACUGGUUUCGGAGCGCAGCAUAAGUCGCACUCUCUAUCAGCAAAGGUCUAGCAUCCAUUAAGCCUUUUUUUCAACUUUUGACCUCGGAUCAGGUAGGGAUACCCGCUGAACUUAAGCAUAUCAAUAAGCGGAGGA